UUCCCCGGGGAAGUGGCAGCUAUUGGCCCAUCAGCUUGGACGAUAAAGUCUUUGCCUUCCAACUAAGAGGCCUGGCCACGAGACAUGCUGUGGAACUUGCCCAAAGAGGUCAUGACAGCUGAGUCACAGAGAACAUCGUUGAACCUGGGAGUCUGAGGGAAGGAGAAUGCCCACUGGGACUGGAGCCAAGGUUGCCUGAGUCAAUAUGACGGUGUGGACUUUCAGCUCAGAACAAGCAGAUGUCAAUUGUCACAUUCUCCUCACGUCCAAAGAAAGCAAAGGAACAGUUAUGAAGAACAUAGAAGUCCCAUGAAGUGCUAUGAAGCUAUCACAUAGGACAUGCAUGAAUGUUGC